UGCUCUGCAUACUUCAAAUUGCUGCGUUCUUGUAAUUGUGUUGAGAAACAUUGGAUUGAUAUACCCUUCGACCAAUACUAUAAAAGUUGGUUGCGCCAAAAGAUAGUCUCAGUUAAUAAGUUAAAUAGUGAGUUAAAAGUCAAAAGUUAAAUAUUGUCAUGAAAGGAGGAAAUGAAAACAAGGGAGGGGGGAGAGAAAAGAAGGGAGAAGGAUGAAGAAGAAGGGAGAAGGUAUUCUAAGGACUUUGGGAGGACAGAGACAGGAAUUAAUGUGAAAACCGCAAGAAUGAAAAGUGAAAAAUGAGGAAGGAGAAUUCAUUGGAUAUAUAUCGACCUCAUGCAUGAUGAUCAGCUGUAUUAAAUUGUUAAUGCAUGCUCGGGACUUUUUCAGGUAUUUAAAUAGCUUAAGAAAAAAGGCUCAGGAUAUGGAUGGUAUUUAUUAAUUCAAUUAUUACUUAGUUAUCCCGCGCCUUAGUGCACUUUAUAAUAUUAUUAUUUAUUUAACUUUAUAAUAUUUCGUUGAAAUAUUAUUACUUAGUGUACAUUUUAGUGUGUAAUUGGAAGAAAAUAACGUGACUGUGUCAGCUCCAGCCUUAGAAGAGUCGGCUUUGAUUGCAACGAUGGGGCGACGAUCUGUGUUAUAUGUUCCUGUCUACUACGUGUUGAGCGCUACGACAUGGCGACUGUUUUACCCUUUGAAUAAUUAUGAAUAGAAAUUUUAUUCGAUAUUGCUAUUUAAUGAGCGAUUGAAGAAAGGACGCGAACAUGUGAAUUACAGCCUUACAAGACUUCGAGUCCUCAUCCUCGACCAUGACGAUACGUGCAAUGUGUUCCUGCUUACGACGUGUUAUGAAGAGGCUGCUCCAGACUGACAUUAAUCGUGAUGAAGAGACUUACCUACGCUCAAUGGAAAAGGACAGAUUUCAUAGAAUUCCAUUGUUAUACUGAGGAAAUCAUCGCCGAAACGGACUUUUGAGACUGUUAUAUAGUGGAUGGGGGUGAGGGUGGCUUACUUCUACGAGACAAGGACAGUGGUAAGGAAUAUUCAUUAAGUUAAUUAUACUAUUGCUUAGAACAGAACGUUUGAAUUCGUUAUCCCGAAGAAUUGCUUAAUUUCCUCUCCCAAAGAAAACUCUAAUACACAUCUGCCUAUUCGCACAGGGAGUUAUAGCUGGGAACACUUGUACAGCUACUACAUGGACUUUGGAAUCGCUGGAAAAAGGAAUACUCGACUUCUCCUCAGCAGCGAUCUAAGUGGCAGCACAGCAAACCUAACCUGAAGAACGACACUGUGGUUCUUGUCAUCGAAGAUGGAUCUGCACCUUUAGCAUGGCCUAUAGGGCGUGUCAUCGACGGGUUAGUUAGCGUAGCUACAGUCAAAAAUAAAACCAACUAAUACCAACCAGUUGCAGUCUUCAAAA